rnacentral:lncRNA from 1 species
UUAAUUCACAGUUUCAAUAUAGAUCUCUUCUUGUCUCUUGAAAUUUGAGAGUAGAUUUGAUAAUUUGUUUAAUAAUAUCGUAUUCUAUAACUUUUAUGUAUCAUAACCAUGUUUAAAUUAUCAUAUAUGUAUUUAUAAUUUGCAUAUAUUCAUGUAUUAUUGGUGCAAAAUAUAUAAAGUGUUAGUGAGAUAAGUCUUGAAAACAUUAUGGAACAUUAAGAAAAAUACUCUU